UCCCAAACCCCAGAAUCCCCUGCCCGCGCCGACCCAACCAAUCCCGCACCCACGCGCCCGCACAUGCGCAGCAGUAGGGCGUCGACGACGAGGAUGACGACGACGCGGCGCAACGGAGGGGUGCAGGUCAGCGAAGGGCACAGGCCACUGCUCACGCCGCUGCUGCGCUCGGUGCUCAACAGGAGUAGCUCGUGCUACGUCCGCACCGCCGGAGAGGACGCCAAGAUGAGCAUGGAGGUGCAUGGGUUGCGCAUUCGGAUGAAGACUCAGUAGGUGGAGCAGCAAGAGAUGCCCCUCCGUAGGGCAGAUUUGUGGCCACACAUCUAUCACCAGCUGGUCCAUAUAGAGGAGGAGAUAAGGUACAUAUCAAGACACCUUUCUCCGUGACUUCCGUUGUUGAUGGUCAUGAUUCUGUUUAGUUACAGGGCGUGGGGUGCUCUUCUUGGAAGACGGUUAGCGGAGCGUGGAAUUAUAGUCGCUUGCAUUGAUUAUAGAAAUUUGCCCCAAGGAACAAUAAGUGACAUGGUCAGUGAUGCUUUUGAGGCAUUUUCAUUUAUUUGUGAUACUAUUGCUAGCUAUGGAGGAGAUCCUAAUCAGAACUAUGCGCCGCACUUGAAUAUUUGAUCCUUUUGGGCGGUGAUUCUAUCCAAAGUCGUCGUUGUGACGUCGGUGAGCAACCUCGGGCACCACACUGAGUGCUACCGCCUCCCCACCACUCAUGACGCCAGGCUGUUCUACUUCUUCGAAUUCAGGUGGCACAAGGAGGACCCAGUGGUGAUCUGGCUGAUGGGAAGGCCCGGCUACUGCAGCGAGCUAGCCCUCUUCUACGAGAACGGCGCCUUCCACAUAGCAGACAACAUGUCGCUACUCUAGAAUGAGUUUGGUUGGGAUCAGCUCUGUCCGUGGUGGUCUCAUGGAUGUAGUGGUGACACCUCUCCUAGUAUACAUGUCCAAAAUCAUUAUUUUGUGGGAAUUCUCGCAGACUUUGCCUUUGUUCCGGGAGGCGUGCAACGACGGCAUGAAGAACAACAUCGAGACCAUACGUUCGGUUUCUCUGUGCCUGCUCUGCUGCCAUCCACACCCGCACUAUCCCAGCUCGUGUGCCGGCUCGAGGUUGGAGAUCUUCUCCUCUCCCCUCCUCCUUCACACACCUUAUCUUGGGGCUGCCAUCGUGGUGCUUUGUAUCCGCACAUAAUCUGAGAAGCUCAGGCCGCCACCACACAAAGGGAGAGGAACCCAAGAAGAAUCUAUCCCGCCUUACUGUCCAUGACCCGACGACAGAGACAGCUACUUCGAGCCUAGGCUCGUCGGCGGGGCAGUGCAAGGCGUAACUCCGACGUGGUUCCUCGCUGGUUGGACGGUGUUCAGGCGCAACCCGGUGCCCACUGAGUACUGCCUCGGCUACAACCUCCCUUGGUGAGCUCCAUCUUCCUCCUGCUCAUCUGCUUCGGCUACUGCAUUGGACAUGGCCGUGGCUAUAUUGAUGUGGUGCUCGUCUGGUUGAUGCUCUAUUCCCUGCUCAUGCAUCGGUUCCUACUUGAGCUCUUUAGUUGUAGAUGCAUGCUAUUCUAGGGUUUGCAGGCUGAGUUCAUGUUUGGUUUCUAUAAUAGGAGUUCUUGCAAUGAUCUGGUUUACAUGUGGAUGCUCUGGUUGUAUAGUUAUGCUCCUGGAUUUGCUAAAUUGACCAGUAGUGUUCGUUCUAGGGCGAUGAUGAUCAACCUGUCAGACCCAGGUGGUCUGAAGCAUGGAAUUCAGUAAAACAGAGACUGAACUAGUGGAGUUUAGCUUGAAUUUCAGAGGAAUGAUUAGCGAGUCUAGCUCGUUACAGAGGUUCUAGCCGACCAGGAACACUGGCGGCGGCAAGGGGGAAACCCUAACAAAAAAGAUACCUAACCUCGAUCCCAACUCCUGGCUUUAUAGCCUUACAAAGGGAAGGAAAAAGAAGAGCAAAAGCAAAACAGAAAGGAGAGAAACGUUGUGGUCUUUGCCGGAAAGGGAACAGCGACCUCCAGGGCAGUCCCCGCCACACGAUGAAGAUCGGACGCUCGUCAGGUCAUCAUAACUGGUGAAGCGGUACGACGACGUCUCGGCCGUGCGAUCGAAGAUGUGUGGCUCCUGAUGUUUCCCGCCUGUUCGGACGGGUUUGAAUUAACUGAAUCCUAUUUGCAGCGAUCGGAUCUUCAGACAGAGGCACUCGGGUCCUGACAACUCCCCCCCUUCCAGAUCAGACCUGUCCUCAGGGCUGGAAAUUAGGAAACACUUUUUGUAUGAAUGUGGCGUCCUCCCAAGUGGCCUCCUCCAGAGGUAGAUUACUCCAUUUGAUGAGCCAUCGAACCACGGGGAUACUGAUGUUGCCUUGCACACGCGGUACCAGUUUGCGUUCGAGCAGUUGUUCUGGUUCUAGUAAGAUUGUUCCAUCCGGGUUGAGCAAGGGGAGCUUGGGGUUUGGAAUCGCCAUUGGGCCAAUAUGCUUCUUGAGCUGGCUCACAUGAAAAGUAUCAUGCAGUUUGCAAUCGUCAGGAAGAAGGAGCUUGUAAGCCAUUGUACCAACUUUCAGGAUAACUCUGAAUGGGCCAUAAAAUUUGGAAUGCAACUUGGGACAUCUAUGGAUACUGAGAGUGGUAUGCCUGUAAGGUUGUAGUUUUAGGUAUACCAUGUCACCAACUUCCAAUGUUCUCUCAGAUCUCUUCUUGACAGCGUAAUGUUUCAUUCUGGCUUGAGCCCUCAAGAGGUGUUCUUUAAUAUGUGCUGCGGUUUGUUCAGCAGUGAGUACAUCAGGGAACUGUUCCAGUUCUUCCACAGGAUAAAGAGCAGAUUCAGCUAACAUAUGAGGAGGUCUGCCAUGCAAGGCUUGGAAUGGGGUGAUCUUGAGAGCUGUGUGAUAGCUAGUGUUGUACCACCACUCUGCUAGGGAUAACCAGUUGAGCCACUUUUGUGGUUGGAUGAAAGCCAUGCAUCUGAGAUAAUUUUCCAAGCAUUGGUUAACUCUCUCUGUCUGACCAUCAGACUGAGGGUGGUACGAAGUGCUCAUGUGUAAUUUUAUUCCCAACUUCUUGAACAAGUCCUGCCAGAGCUUGCUAGUGAAGAUUUUGUCUCUGUCAGUGACAAUCACAGCUGGUAACCCAUGGAGUUUGAAGAUGUUAUCAGUGAAAGCCUUAGCUACAGUAUUAGCUGUAAUGGGGUGUUUCAUUGGGAUAAAGUGGUUGUAUUUAGUGAACCUGUCCACCACAACCAAAAUCAUGUUCUUGUUGUGAGAAGUAGGAAGACCUUCCAUAAAAUCCAUGCUUAUGUGGCACCAGGCAAAGUCUGGGACUGGCAGAGGUUGGAGCAGCCCAGGGUACUUGCAGUGUUCAGCUUUGUUUAUUUGACAGGUUGGGCAUUGUUUAAUAUAGUCAACAACAAAUUGCUUCAUGCCAGGCCAAUGGAAGAGAAGCUUAACUCUUUGGUAUGUAGCUCUUUUACCAGAAUGGCCACCAAGUUCAGAGCUAUGUAAAGCAGCUUGCAAUUUAGUUCUGAUGGUGUUAUCAGCUCCAACGACAAUUCUAUUUUUGUAUCUGAGCACACCCUGUUGCACAGUGUAGUUGGGCACAGAAUCAGGGUUUAUAGUUAGUUGAGCUAGGAGAUCCUUGCAUAUUUGGUCAUUCUUGUAGCUGUCAACAACUUCAGUUACCCAGGCAGGUUUGACAGUAGAAGCAAUUAGAGCAUGAAUUUUGUGGUGCACCCUGGAAAGGGCAUCAGCCACUUUAUUUUUCUUGCCCUGCUUGUACUCCACAGUGUAAUUGUAGCCAAGGAGUUUGACCAGAAGCUUGUGCUGAAUCCUCGGUGAGUUUUUGUUCUUGUAUAUAUUUUAAACUCUGUUGAUCAGUUCUGAUUAUGAGAGAGGAUGCAACAAAAUAAUGUUUCCAGUGCUUGAGAGCUUCAAUAAUUGCUAAAGCUUCCUUGUCAUAAGUGGAAUAUGCAGCUGCUCUAGGGCCAAUUGCUUUACUGAAAAAGGAAAUAGGUCUCCCCUCUUGCAUUAGAACUGCACCCAGUCCAUAGGCACAAGCAUCUGUUUCCAAGAUGAAAGGCUUGGAGAAGUCUGGUAGGGCCAACACUGGGGCUUGUGUCAUUUUGUUCUUCAGGGUAUUGAAAGCUUGAACUUGCUCUUGCCCCCAAGUGAAACUGUCCUUUUUCAGGGAGUUAAACAGUGGCCUGCAAAUGAGUCCAUACUUUUCCACAAAUCUUCUAUAGUAACUUGUCAACCCUAAAAAGCUCCUGAGCUGUGUGACAUUUUCAGGUUCUGGCCAUUGCUGUACAGCCUGAAUUUUGACUGGGUCAGUUGCAACUCCAUCAGCCCUAAUAACAUGUCCCAAGUACUCCACCUGAGGCUGAGCAAAGACACAUUUGCUUGCUUUAAUAUACAGCUGGUGUUCCUUGAGAGUUUCAAAUAUUUGUUGCAAGUGGAUUAUGUGCUCCUUCAUAUUUUUACUGAACACCAAAAUAUCAUCAAAGAAUACUAGUACAAAUUUUCUGAGAUACUUGGCUAAGAUAGUAUUCAUGAGCAUUUGGAAAGUUGCAGGAGCAUUGGUUAAACCAAAGGGCAUAACCAAGUAUUCAUAGUGCCCACAGUGAGUGCUAAAAGCAGUUUUCUCAAUAUCCUCUUCCUUCAUUCUGAUCUGAUGGUAUCCACUUCUGAGAUCAAGCUUAGUGAAAACAGUGGCUCCAUGCAAUUCAUCCAACAAAUCCUCAAUAACAGGGAUGGGGUAUUUGUUUUUGAUAGUCUGAGUAUUGACCUUUUUGAAGUCAUUGCAAAGUCUCCAAGAUAGAUCUUUCUUUUUCACCAAAAUUGCAGGAGAGGAGUAAGGACUUGAACUAUCUUUGAUUACCUUAUUUUUAAUCAUUUCCUGAAUGAUAUUUUCCAUAGCUUCCUUUUGGUGAUAAGGUAAUCUGUAUGGCCUUUGGUUUAUAACUUUUGCACCAUGUUCAAAAGGAAUUGCAUGAUCAACAUUUCUCUUAGGAGGUAAAUCAGUAGGAGUUCCAAAAAUAUCCUUGUACUGACCUAGAAGUUCUUGGACAGGUAGGGGAACAACAGUGUCCUUAUGUUCUGUCAGAGCAAUUUUGUUUAGUAGCAACACAGCCCCACAGAUAGUGUCAUCAGAUAAGUGCUCCAUGCUGUCCAUUUCUUGAACUGGCUCACUGGGUAAGCUUUCAUCCUUGAAGAUUUUCUUUUCUCCUGAUUUCAGUGUGACUUGCACUUCCAUUUCCUCAAAAUCUAGCUGGACAGGACUAACAGUUUUCAUCCAAUCAGCUCACAAUAUCACAUCAUAACCUUGCAACUGUAGGACUCGGAAAUCAUGGGAAAAUUUAGUUCCUUGCACCACAAAAGGGCACUGGGUGGCAAUGAAUUCAGUCCAUAGAGUUGCUCCAUUGGCAACUAACACUUUCUUUUUCUUAGUUGGAGUAAGAGCACACAGAGCCAGCUUUGCAAGUGCAGGAGUUACAAAUGUUGCGGUGCUGCCACUGUCAAUGAGGUCAGUUGCAGGUCUGUCUCCCAACAUGACUGUAACAGUGAAACUCAGCUUGGAGGAAGUGACUCCCAUGAGGGCAUGCAUGGAGAUUUGCAAGGGAGUGUCAUCCAAGUCAGUGGGAGGUGGAGCUUCAGUAUCAUCAGCAGUGUAGUAGACCAGUUCUGCAUCCUCAGGGCAGGUCUCUUGCAAGGCUUGUAUCUGCAUUUGAUUUGCCAAUUUGCAAACUUUCUUGUGGCCAGGAAACCAUGGUUCUUUGCACUGGUAGCAGAUUCCUUUCAUUCUGGCCCGUUGGAUGACAGUAGGUGUGUUGUUAGGAGGUGGCUUUCCUAGGUCCAACUGAAGUUGCCUCCUAACUGGCUGAUUAAUAUAAGCCACUGGUGUUUUCUUGCUGGGCUGAGCUUGUUCCAUUCUUCUGGCCAACCAGAUAGCUUUUUGUAGGUCUGCUGGUUCAUGACAUUGAAAAUAAUGUUGGAUAGUGUCACUCAGACCAGCAAUGAAACUAGCUUUGUAAUAAUCAGCAGGCAGUGCAGGGUUGUCCCUCCUGAGUAAGUUCAUGGACUGUUCAAACUUGAGCACAUAGUCAUUAACAGACCCAGUUUGGUUGAGAGCAUGAAAAGUUCUGACAUUGUCAUAUACUGAAGUUUCGGAAAACCUGUCUCCAAUCAGUCUACAGAACCUGUACCAGGGUAGGGUAUUGGCAAUAAUUCCAGUUCCUCUCCACCACUCUAUUGCUGGCCCCUUUAAGUAAGUGACAACAAUUUCAGUUUUCUGCUCCAGUGGUGUCCUAGCAGCUUCAAAGUACAUUUCAAUGGUUUGGAUCCAAGAGUCAGUUCCACUGCCAUCAAACUCCGGUAUGUUAUACUUAGCAGGUUUCACCAAAGUCAGAGGUCUUCUGUUGUCUUGGACUUGAUCUCUCUGUGCAUUGCCCCCUCUGCCAGCUAUUUGCUGAACCUGCUCCUCAGCUUGCUCUUGUUCUAACUGAGUGAUUUGUUGCAUGUUUCCUAUUUUAGGAAUUGCAGUAGUUGCUCUGGCAUUAGGUGGGAGAAGUUUGUUGUCCGCAAAGUGGGGGUGCCUGUACGAAAUUUUGGUGCUGCCAUCCAAGUUAAGUUCUUUUCCAGUGUGCUUAUCCACCAAAGUUACAGAGCCUGCAGUAGGAGGGGUUUGGAGGCCAUCGACUGGCCGAAGCACUGGGCCUUGUGGUGUAUGAUUUUGUCCACUGCCUUGAGGGAUAUCUUGGGAAUGGGUGGGGUUUCAUGUGGUUUUGGAAAUCUAGAGAUAAAUUUGUUAAGUGUGCCCUGUAAUUCCCCCAAAGACUUCUGCAUUGACUGGAAGUUGUCUUGCACAUGGUCCCUGAAGUCCUUGAAGUCCUGUCUGUCCUGCUCUCGAUUUCUCAUAGCACUUGCUGCAACCCGACCUUGACCGUAGAUCCUGCCGCCGCCUGCACCGCCGCUGUCAGCUACACUGCCGCCAAGAUUGUCCGGUGGGAAGUGAAGGAUUUUACGGCUCCUCCAACUCCACCGCCGCCAAGCAUGGAAUUCAGUAAAACAGAGACUGAACUAGUGGAGUUUAGCUUGAAUUUCAGAGGAAUGAUUAGCGAGUCUAGCUCGUUACAGAGGUUCUAGCCGACCAGGAACACUGGCGGCGGCAAGGGGGAAACCCUAACAAAAAAGAUACCUAACCUCGAUCCCAACUCCUGGCUUUAUAGCCUUACAAAGGGAAGGAAAAAGAAGAGCAAAAGCAAAACAAAAAGGAGAGAAACGUUGCGGUCUUUGCCAGAAAGGGAACAUCGACCUCCAGGGCAGUCCCCGCCACACGAUGAAGAUCGGACGCUCGUCGGGUCAUCAUAACUGGCGAAGUGGUACGACGACGUCUCGGCCGUGCGAUCGAAGAUGUGUGGCUCCUGACGUUUCCCGCCUGUUCGGACGGGUUUGAAUUAACUGAAUCCUAUUUGCAGCGAUCGGAUCUUCAGACAGAGGCACUCGGGUCCUGACAACCUUGACUGAAAUAAGUGUGCCUUUGAGCAAUCGAGGCACCCGUGGGUAUCAAGCUGGAUCCUCCCUCUUGUCUCUGGAGUCCUUUUUGAUCCUGUGAUACUUGUUGUUCUGUCCUAGGAUGGUCAUUCUUGUUGAGUGAUAACCAGGGCAGCUCCAUUGUAUAAACAGAUUGAUCUAUGAUAAAAGAUGACGGGGGUAGGUUAUAUGAUCGAGGAAAGCCGAAUCUGAGCCCACAAUGCAAUGAACCCUGAACUAUUUUUAUUUGUACUUAAAGGUGUUACUUAUUUAUGCUCCGAUGGCUUUCGUGCUGGGGCGAUGAUGAUUAGCCGUGUCUGAAAUAAGUGUGCCUUCGAGCAAUCGAGGCACAUGUGGGUAUCAAGUUGAAUCCUCCCUCUUGUCUCUAGAAUCCUUUUUGAUCCUGUGAUACUUGUUGCUCUGUCCUUGGAUGGUCAUUCUUGUUGAGUGAUAACCAGGGAAGCUCCACUGUAUAAAAAGAUUGAUCUGGUGAUAAGAGACGGGGGUAGGUUAUAUGAUCGAGGAAAGUCAGAUCUGUGCCCACUAUGCAAUGAACCCUGGAUCCUUUUUAUUUGUAUUUAAAGGUGUUGCUUAUUUAUGCUCCGGUGUUUAUAGUCGUCUUAUGUAAAGAUUUCUUCUCUCUCAUACCUUUAUUGCAUAUGAGUUGUUCUUGAUCUUUUAUUGUUUGUUGUUGGUCCUUGAUUUAAUCUGGUUAAGAGUAAGCUGCACUUUGUUAUACUAGAAAGACAUGCUCCCAGCAAGUUAUAGGGGCCUCUCUUGCUGCCUUAAGUUUGUAUGGUAAAGUAUGCAUCAUGUGUGCCUCUGUUUUGUUUCCCUCUUGUAUUCCUAUGUCUUGCCUCACAUAUCAUGGCACUUGAUAUAUGCAUGGUUGUUGGCGAUCGGACGCCACCACCGCCGCCGAUGCCAUCGUGGCUCUUGCCGCCGUCAAACAUUAAGCUUGAGUCUCAGUUUGAUCUUACGGUUCUACGGCUCAAAGGUUGAUGACUGCCAUGAGGCGCUACCCAGUUAAAUCUUCGUAAGUUGUUGAGCAUGAACUUUUCUUCUUAAUUAUUUUCAUCUUCUUAGCCUUGCCACAUCAUCUCUUAAAAAUAGUUUGAAUCCAUCAACUGUGUGCUCUGCCUAUGCAAUUCAUUGAACCGUAAGAUUAAAACCUUCAUAAGGUGUAGCCCUGUCUCCAACUACCUUCUGAAUAUUAACAUUUUUGUUGGAAAAAGAAGAAAGAUUGAAUCAUAGUUUGCACUAAAUGAAAAUGAGUUUUUUUUACAUUUUGUUCACUCACUAGGAGGGUCACUAUUUAUAUGCUUGCUUCAACUUUUUCCGGAUCACCAUGUAAAUCAUUUGUACAGGAGCUCUGGAACAAGAAAAACAAUAAUCACAAGGAUGGAGGCUUAACAUGUAUUUUGUUUGCCAUCUGGU